rnacentral:rRNA from 1 species
GAGCCCGCACAAGCAGUGGAGUAUGUGGAUUAAUUCGAUGCAACGCGAAGAACCUUACCAGGGCUUGACAUCCCGCGGAUCCGUGAUAACGAUCGGAGUGCCCUUCGGGGAACGCGGAGACAGGUGGUGCAUGGUUGUCGUCAGCUCGUGUCGUGAGAUGUUGGGUUAAGUCCCGCAACGAGCGCAACCCUUACGAUUAGUUGCUACGGGAAGAGCACUCUAAUUGGACUGCCGUUGGCAAAACGGAGGAAGGUGGGGAUGACGUCAAAUCAUCAUGCCCCUUACGUUCUGGGCUUCACACGUACUACAAUGGCGCAAACAGAGGGAAGCGAAGCCGCGAGGCGGAGCGAAUCCCAAAAAAGGCGUCCCAGUUCGGACUGCAGGCUGCAACUCGCCUGCACGAAGUCGGAAUUGCUAGUAAUCGCGGAUCAGCAUGCCGCGGUGAAUACGUUCCCGGGCUUU